rnacentral:rRNA from 1 species
GAGCGAACGCUGGCGGCAGGCCUAACACAUGCAAGUCGAACGGAUCCUUCGGGAUUAGUGGCGGACGGGUGAGUAACACGUGGGAACGUGCCCUUUGGUUCGGAACAACUCAGGGAAACUUGAGCUAAUACCGGAUGUGCCCUUCGGGGGAAAGAUUUAUCGCCAUUGGAGCGGCCCGCGUCUGAUUAGCUAGUUGGUGAGGUAAAGGCUCACCAAGGCGACGAUCAGUAGCUGGUCUGAGAGGAUGAUCAGCCACAUUGGGACUGAGACACGGCCCAAACUCCUACGGGAGGCAGCAGUGGGGAAUCUUGCGCAAUGGGCGAAAGCCUGACGCAGCCAUGCCGCGUGAAUGAUGAAGGUCUUAGGAUUGUAAAAUUCUUUCACCGGGGACGAUAAUGACGGUACCCGGAGAAGAAGCCCCGGCUAACUUCGUGCCAGCAGCCGCGGUAAUACGAAGGGGGCUAGCGUUGCUCGGAAUUACUGGGCGUAAAGGGAGCGUAGGCGGACUGUUAAGUUAGAGGUGAAAGCCCAGGGCUCAACCUUGGAAUUGCCUUUGAUACUGGCAGUCUUGAGUACGGAAGAGGUAUGUGGAACUCCGAGUGUAGAGGUGAAAUUCGUAGAUAUUCGGAAGAACACCAGUGGCGAAGGCGACAUACUGGUCCGUUACUGACGCUGAGGCUCGAAAGCGUGGGGAGCAAACAGGAUUAGAUACCCUGGUAGUCCACGCCGUAAACGAUGAGUGCUAGUUGUCGG